GAUCAUUGUCUAGAUGUUCUCCAAUGCCAAUAGGCCUACAAUUAAUGCAAGGAGAAUUCAAAUAAAUCAUUCAAGGCAUCAAACAGCUCAAGGAACUCUGAGCGGGUAAAGUAGGUGUUGACAGUCUCUCCUCAAUCAAUUCACAACGUGCUACAGUGUACGAGCGCCCAAACUUCUCGAAAUCCUUUUGACACCACAGAGCAAAUAGUUGAGGUACAACCAGCAAAGUCAGGUGGAUGCUCCAGAACAACAGAGCCUCUGGCCCAGACACAGGAGACUGGAGAUCUUUUUGGGUGCGGUGAUGGCAGGAGCCCCAUAUGUAGGUCACCUGAGCCUUUACAAACCAAACAAAUACAAAAAUUAUGGUACGCA